rnacentral:rRNA from 1 species
CGGACGGGUGAGUAACGCGUGAGUAACCUGCCUUACACAAGGGGAUAGCCGUUGGAAACGACGAAUAAUACCCUAUGACAUAAACUCUUCGCAUGAGGAGCUUAUCAAAGAUUUAUCGGUGUAAGAUGGACUCGCGUCUGAUUAGCUAGUUGGUGAGGUAACGGCCCACCAAGGCGACGAUCAGUAGCCGGCUUGAGAGAGUGUACGGCCACAUUGGGACUGAGACACGGCCCAGACUCCUACGGGAGGCAGCAGGC